rnacentral:tRNA from 1 species
GCCCUGGUGGCACAAUGGUUAAGUGCUCAGCUGCUAACUGAAAGGUUGGUGGUUCGAGCCCACCCAGUGGCU